UAGGGAAUCUUCCGCAAUGGACGCAAGUCUGACGGAGCAACGCCGCGUGAGUGAAGAAGGAUUUCGGUUCGUAAAACUCUGUUGUUAGAGAAGAACAGCGCAUAGAGUAACUGUUAUGCGUGUGACGGUAUCUAACCAGAAAGCCACGGCUAACUACGUGCCAGCAGCCGCGGUAAUACGUAGGUGGCAAGCGUUGUCCGGAUUUAUUGGGCGUAAAGCGAGCGCAGGCGGUCAAUUAAGUCUGAAGUGAAAGCCCCCGGCUCAACCGGGGAGGGUCAUUGGAAACUGGUUGACUUGAGUGCAGAAGAGGAGAGUGGAAUUCCAUGUGUAGCGGUGAAAUGCGUAGAUAUAUGGAGGAACACCAGUGGCGAAGGCGACUCUCUGGUCUGUAACUGACGCUGAGGCUCGAAAGCGUGGGUAGCAAACAGG
rnacentral:rRNA from 1 species